rnacentral:rRNA from 1 species
UACAGAGACUGCAAGCGUUAUUCGGAUUCACUGGGCGUAAAGGGUGCGCAGGCGGCCAAGUGUGUUAGGCGUGAAAGCCCGGGGCUUAACCCCGGAAUUGCACCUAAAACUACUUGGCUAGAGCAUUGGAGAGGGUAGCGGAAUUCACGGUGUAGCAGUGAAAUGCGUAGAUAUCGUGAGGAACACCAGAGGCGAAGGCGGCUACCUGGACAAUUGCUGACGCUCAGGCACGAGAGCGUGGGGAGCAAAAGGG